UGUUCCCUGCGGUGUUUGUUAAGGCCAUAUAUUCCUUGAACCAAUGCUUAUUGGCAUCGGUUGCGGACCAAAUACCCGCUGUUGUGCGCGUUCUUCGUCGAAUGUGCCUGAUGCGGAAGGAAAGCAACCACUCUGGACCCAGGUUCAGGAUGCCGGCCUGACGGCACUCGCGGGGACUUA
rfam:Azonexus hydrophilus strain ZS02 NODE_4_length_462491_cov_52.2014_ID_546, whole genome shotgun sequence.